GUUAGGCCUCUGCUGCUGUCUUUUCCCACCUUAAUAUGAACAUGCUUUUCUCUGCUUUUUUCCCUGCAAAGGUUGAAAAGUCACACUCCAUCCUAUUGCGAUGAGUCCCUGUUUGGCACCAAGCCUGAGGAUCCGUCCUGGGCAGCUUCUUGGAUGAAGAGAGAAGAUGUAGCCAAACUUCGUCCACUGCUCUGGAGCCCGUCAUCCGCCCCCCGAAACCAGUCAAGCCUUUCCUCCCGCUCCAAGGAGACGCCCUUGAGGGCUGUCCACCCACGAGCCUCAGCAUCGCCAGCGCUAGCAAACCUUGGCACAGAUCAUAAGGGCGAGUCUUACAUCUGGAAACGGCCUGAGAGCAAUUCGGACUCUGAAGGCCGGAGUGCUCCCAACAGAGGACGUUCUCAGUCUCUCACUCGGCUGAACGCCUCUCCGGAUAGCCUCCGACUGGCUUCAGGCAACCCCAAGACAGAAAAGCAUAAAAAUCAGUGCCCCUCAACAGCCCCUGCAACACCCCGAGGUCCUCUGAUGAGGGUUCGGUCUAAGAGCGUGUCUGCACCUUGUUUUGCCAGGAACUCCAAGGCAGGGUCUGACACCCAUUGAGCAAACAAGGGAAGGAGCUGUCAGGGAGCAGCGAGAAGGGGACUGCUCCACGAGGGAGGACGAGCCAGGAGCUGAGAGUGACCACAGCAUCAACGCGGCAGUGAGUGACCUCCCUGAGCGGGGUACAGUCCCAUGGCACCCAAGCAGGACAGCCGUGGCAGUAAUAACAGCUUUCAUUGCCUGUCCAGGGAUCAUCAGAUGAGGUGAGGUAAUGAGUCAGGUUGCUUCCGUCCAGGACGUCCAGUCAGGACAGCCAGGAGACAGGACUACCGACAGCAUAGGUGCAGGGCCCAGCCAGGAGACAGGACCGGACACAGGUACACCUACAGUGUAGCCCAGAGUAAGAUGGGGGGCUGGGACCGAGCGCAAAUGGGGCUCCUGGACCGUGGAGCAGAGGGUGCCUGGGUAGAGGUCCCAGGUGAGGCUGGCCAGGGCAGGUAAGGUCUGUUGGUGCGCUCAGAGCCCUGACAGGAACCUCCACUGUCCACUUCUGGGGAGAGAGGAGUUUGGCUUCAUCCUGCCUGUCACAUGCAGUCACAGCCUCAUUCGGGUUGGACGGCACCGCAGGAGGUCUCUAAUCUGAACUGCUCGGGGCAGGGUCAGCUCUGGGGUCGGACCAGGUUGCUCAGGGCUUUAUCCAGUUGGGUCUUGGAGACCGCCAAGGACUGAGACUGCAUGAUGUUUCCGGCACCCUGUUCCAAUGCUUCAGUGUCCUUGCAAUGAAAAAAUUUUCCCUUGUAACCAGCCAGAGCCUUUCUUGCCUCAAUUUUGGUCUAUUCUCUCACUCUCCUGCCAAACACCUUAGCAAAGAACCUGGCACUAUCUUCUUGGUAACCUCUUUGUGGGUGCUGCUGUGAGAUCCCCCGCGAAACUUUCAUUCUCCAGGUUGAACAAGAUGGUUUUACUUGCAGCCUCUGAUCAUGGGGCACGUGCUCCAGUCCCUGACCAUCUUGGUGGCUCUCUGCUGGACUCGCUCCAGUUUAUCAACGUUUUAGUGAUACCCUUUGGCCAAGGAAGGAGACGGGAGAGCGAGCAGAGAGGUGAGGAAUGGCAUCGCCCUAUGUCCUUCUCGCAGUGGGAUGCUCUUAGAGUGGAUGGGUUUGCGUGGCAGAGCAAGGAUCUGCCUCGGUGAUUUCAGCAGUUGCUUGGGAUUGGGCCUUGCUGACUGGACACAAAAAUCCUGUGAUUGAUACUGAACGCUGUGAGGUGCUGUCACAGCGAUGCUACGCUUGCAUACAAAUAAAUGAUCAAAGGCAAAUCUGCUGGGGCCUUGU
ensembl:lncRNA